UACGUAGGGGGCAAGCGUUGUCCGGAAUCAUUGGGCGUAAAGCGCGUGUAGGCGGCUCGAUAAGUCUGCUGUGAAAGUCCGGGCUCAACCCUGGGAUGCCGGUGGAUACUGUCGAGCUCGAGUCCGGAAGAGGCGAGUGGAAUUCCUGGUGUAGCGGUGAAAUGCGCAGAUAUCGGGAAGAACACCCGUGGCGAAGGCGGCUCUCUGGGACGGUACUGACGCUGAGACGCGAAAGCGUGGGGAGCGAACAGG
rnacentral:rRNA from 1 species